rnacentral:rRNA from 1 species
GAAGGGGGCUAGCGUUGUUCGGAAUGACUGGGCGUAAAGGGCGCGUAGGCGGCCAAGUAAGUCAGGCGUGAAAGCCCCGGGCUCAACCUGGGAACUGCGCUUGAUACUGUUUGGCUUGAGGACGGGAGAGGAUGGUGGAAUUCCCAGUGUAGAGGUGAAAUUCGUAGAUAUUGGGAAGAACACCGGUGGCGAAGGCGGCCAUCUGGACCGUUUCUGACGCUGAGGCGCGAAAGCGUGGGGAGCAAACAGGAUUAGAUACCCUGGUAGUCCACGCUGUAAACGAUGUGUGCUAGACGUUGGGGGUCAAGCCUCCGGUGUCGCAGCCAACGCGUUAAGCACACCGCCUGGGGAGUACGGCCGCAAGGUUAAA